GCCAGCAGUCUCCCAUGUCACCCUGUAGCCCAAGACUGGUUGCCCACUGAAGCUAAGCAGGGCUGAGUCUGGUCAGUACCUGGAUGGGAGACCUCCUGAGAAAACUAGGUUGCUGCUGGAA
ensembl:rRNA 5S_rRNA 5S ribosomal RNA